rnacentral:rRNA from 1 species
UGCGUAGGCGGAUUAAUAAGUCAGUGGUGAAAUCUUUCGGCUCAACCGAGAAACUGCCAUUGAUACUGUUAAUCUUGAGUUCGGUUGGGGUAGGCGGAAUGUGUAAUGUAGCGGUGAAAUGCUUAGAUAUUACACAGAACACCAAUUGCGUAGGCAGCUUACUAGACCGACACUGACGCUGAGGCACGAAAGCGUGGGGAGCGAACAGGAUUAGAUACCUGGUAGUCC